GGUACGCUCUCAAAGAGUCGAGUUGUUUGGGAAUGCAGCUCAAAAUGGGUGGUAAAUUCCAUCUAAAGCUAAAUAUUGGCGAGAAACCGAUAGCGAACAAGUACCGUGAGGGAAAGAUGAAAAGAACUUUGGAAAGAGAGUUAAACAGUACGUGAAAUUGUUGAAAGGGAAACGCUUAAAGUCAGUCGCAUUGAAAGAAAUCACACUUGCUUUGGCUUGUGGCUUUUUCUUAGCAAUGGGUCAGCAUCAGUUUAGAUUGUUGGAAAAGGGUUGGAGGAAUGUGGCAUCUCUGGAUGUGUUAUAGCCUUCAAUUGCAUACAAUGAUUGAGACUGAGGAACUCAGCACUUGUGCUUAGGAUGCUGGCAUAAUGGCUUUAAUCGACCCGUCUUGA
rnacentral:rRNA from 1 species